rnacentral:sRNA from 1 species
CGCGCUAGGCAGAUGAGGGAAGCUGGAGUGAGGUUCAGAGCCCGGAGGAGGAGGACGCCUUUGUCCGCUGGGUCUCCGUCCUAGGGAACCUGGCCGACCAGCUCUAUUACCCCUGUGAGCACGUCGCCUGGGCGGCUGAUGCCCGGGUCCUCCACGUGGACUCUUCCCGGUGGUGGACGCUGAGUACAACCUUGUGGGCCCUCUCUCUGCUCCUGGGGGUUGCCAGGUCCCUGUGGAUGCUGCUGAAACUGAGACAGAGGCUGCGGAGCCCCAUGGCGCCCUUCACCAGCCCGCUGCCCCGGGGCAAGCGGAGGGCCAUGGAGGCGCAGAUGCAGUCGGAGGCGCUGUCACUUCUCAGCAACCUGGCCGACCUGGCCAACGCCGUGCACUGGCUGCCCCGGGGCGUGCUGUGGGCCGGCCGCUUCCCGCCGUGGCUGGUGGGCCUCAUGGGCACCAUCUCCUCGAUCCUCAGCAUGUACCAGGCGGCCCAGGCUGGCGGCCAGGCCGAGGCCACUACCCCCUGACACUACCAGAAGAGCACAGGGACACAGCCAGAGCCCACGGAGGGCCCUUCCCGCAAAGCAGAAGCCACCAGGGCAGGGGCCGGGGCUCUCAUGGAGCUGCCUGUGGUGAAAUCCGUGGGCAGGCUGGGUGGAGGGACUGAUGCGAGGUCCCCCAGGCCUCAGCCUGGAGCUCCCGAGCCGUGACAGUUUUCAGGAGCCAUGGAGGGCUUCAGCAGCACCUCCUGCCUGCCAGCUGGCGUCUUGUAUCCAAAUCAAGAUGAGGAAGAGGGAGCCCAUCGUGCCUUGAGAAAGCUGCAACGGGAAUCAAU